AUGGAUGCUGCGCUGGAGCAGGGAGCUGGAGUUGGAGUAUCUGCAGGAAGCUGUAGAGCUGCAACAAAGGCAACCUCAAAAGUCAGUGCUGAGACUGCUGGGAAUGGCAGUAUGGAGUCUGGUGAACAGAAAAUGGCCACUGAUGCUGAGGAGCCAGGUUGCUACAUUGCACUGGAAGAGACAGCAUGGAGUUAAAGCAUUCUCCAAUGGAGGCAAGAAAUGAGAGGCCGGUGAGUGAGGGGGUAGUGGGAGCAGAGACUGUGCUGCCAGGUGAGGGGGAGGCUGAAGUAGAGACUGCACUGACCAGUAAUGGAGGGACUGUCAUACAAACUGCAUUGCAAGGUGCAGAGACUGUCAUAGAAUAUGAGAAGAUCAUUAAAUCUCUAAGAGACUUAAACUGUUGGGAGAGUAAACAGAUUUCUCUGACUAAAGGCAUUGACAGCUGAACCUGCUAACUGGGGAAAGCAGAGGCAAGGCUAUAAUUGGCUUUUGUAAACAAGGAGUCGGAGGAGACUGACCUGCAAAUGAAAGACAUUUACACUAUAUUGAGCCAUGAAAAGAACUCUAUGAUAAUAAGGGGAUACAGGAGGGUGGAGGAAAUGUUGCAUCAGUGAGAAUAAUGAAAGUUACACAGCUGCUAAAGGAAAAUGUAUCAGUGCAAAGUUCUCCUACAAAUAGUUCUGUUUCUGUGGGUCAGUGUAUUGGCUCAGGUGAGCUGAAUAAUCCACUAAAUGGCAGGGGGAGGGGCAGCUGGGAGGGAGGGGCAGCUGGGAGGGAGGGGCUGCUAGGAGGGAGGGGCUGCAGGCAGGUGAGGGAGCAGCAAGGUGUUUCUCUGCCUGGGGGUCUCAGUGCAACUGCUCCAGGUAUGUCUGCAGUGGGAAAGGGGGCAAAUGCUUCAUCUGGAGAGAUCACAAAUGUUACACAGACUGUCCCUAGGCCAAGUUCUGAUGUUAAUGCUGCUCUUACUUUGGAUCAUGGUACUGCCCUAGGUGGGUUACAUGAUGGGGUGCAUGGUGGGGGGGAGGGGCAGCUGGGAGUGAGUGAUUACAGGCAGGUGAGUGCAAGUGAGAGUGAGCAGCAAGGUGUCUCUCUGCCUGGGGGUCUUUGUGCAACUGCUUCAGGAAUAUCUGUUGGGAGAGAGGGGGCAAAAGCGUCUGUUUGAUGUGAAUGCAGAUGAGUAACCCUGUACUUCACAUGGCAGUGGGUACUAAUGGGUUAAUCGCUGGUCACAUGAUACGCAGGAAAUAGAAUAAGUUUGAAUCCCAGCCCCCCCCACUCUAUCCUUAUUUUCCUGCGCGUGAGCUCAUCCCAAUACCAGCAGGGUCUCUGGCCUGUGACUGCUGAAGCUCCAGGGUUAAAUAAAUGUAUCUUAUCCAGACCAUGGCCUUCCGUUGCCGGUACCUCGCAGUAAGUCGCAUGCUGGUUCAACUGGCGCAGUAAGUCGAUGGUUGUAUUCGAAAUGAUUUGAGAAUGCAAACGAGGACAAGUGCUCUCCUCAGUUAUGGGAAGUUCUAGUUAAGUGGAUGAGCUGCAGGAGAAUAUCAGAGUGACUUUGAUAUAUCUGGAGAAAUUCAGCUUCUUGGGAGGAACCUGCAUUAUGUGAAUCUCAUUGUCUGCUAAUUCGGAAAAAGAAGACCUAAAUGAACAUAGAACUGUAUUGUUCCAGCUUUUCCAUCUUAUUGGACUUCCUUUCAGUCUGCAGGGUCAUUUGCAUAUUGGAUCUGCCUGCAGUAUGAAAGAUAAUUGCAUCAAGUUAGAAAACAAAAGUUACCUCUAUUCCUGAUUCCCUUCAGUUUAUUGGAUUUACCUGCACCGUGCAGGUUAAUCUACAUCUUGUUAGAAAAACACCUAACUAAAGACUAGGUCUCUAUUGCUUCAAAUUUUGGAGUGUGCAAGAUAACUUGCAUCAAGUUCAGAAAACACUUACUGAGGAAUAUGUCUAUAUUAGCUGAUUACCUUCCAGUUUAUUGGAUUUGCCUGCAGUGUGUAAGGUCAUUUGCAUCUUGUUACAAGAGCACCUAACUGCUGAUUAGGUCCAUAUGACCUGAUUAACUUCCAGCUGAUUCUGCUUAAUGAUUUACCUGUAAUGUGCAAGAUAUUGUGCAUCUUGUUAAUAAAGCGACUAACUGAA